rnacentral:misc_RNA from 2 species
GAAAUGCGAUAAGUAAUGUGAAUUGCAGAAUUCAGUGAAUCAUCGAAUCUUUGAACGCACCUUGCGCUCCCUGGUAUUCCGGGGAGCACGCCUGUUCGAGUGUCAUGAAACUAUCAAGUCAGGUCUUUUAUUGGAUCUGACUUGGAUUUGGACUCUGCCGUGUCUUUCAAUAGGUGCGGCUGGUCUUAAAAGUAUUAGCUGGCCUUUGUGAAGGCUUGGUUCUACUCGGCGUGAUAAUUAUCUAACGUCGAGGACAUUCUUCGGAGUGGCCAGGUCAUCCAAUAGACUGCUUCUAAUCGUCUCAGGACAAUUUUCUAAAUCUGACCUCGAAUCAGGUGGGACUACCCGCUGAACUUAA